CUCGCCUGCACGAAGUCGGAAUUGCUAGUAAUCGUAGGUCAGCAUACUACGGUGAAUACGUUCCCGGGCCUUGUACACACCGCCCGUCAAACCAUGAGAGUUGGCAACACCGAAGUCGGUAGUCUAACCGCAAGGAGGACGCCGCCGAAGGUGGGGUUGAUGAUUAGGGUUAAGUCGUAACAAGGUAGC
rnacentral:rRNA from 1 species